rnacentral:rRNA from 1 species
ACGUAGGUGGCAAGCGUUGUCCGGAUUUACUGGGUGUAAAGGGCGUGUAGGCGGGAAUACAAGUCAGAUGUGAAAUACUGUGGCUCAACCACAGAACGGCAUCUGAAACUGUAUUUCUUGAGUACUGGAGAGGAAAGCGGAAUUCCUAGUGUAGCGGUGAAAUGCGUAGAUAUUAGGAGGAACACCGGUGGCGAAGGCGGCUUUCUGGACAGUAACUGACGCUGAGACGCGAAAGCGUGGGGAGCAAACAGG